AUUGAACGCUGGCAGCAGGCUUAACACGUGCAAGUCGAGCGGAGAUGAGGUGCUUGCACCUUAUCUUAGCGGCGGACGGGUGAGUAAUGCUUAGGAAUCUGCCUAUUAGUGGGGGACAACAUUCCGAAAGGAAUGCUAAUACCGCAUACGCCCUACGGGGGAAAGCAGGGGAUCUUCGGACCUUGCGCUAAUAGAUGAGCCUAAGUCGGAUUAGCUAGUUGGUGGGGUAAAGGCCUACCAAGGCGACGAUCUGUAGCGGGUCUGAGAGGAUGAUCCGCCACACUGGGACUGAGACACGGCCCAGACUCCUACGGGAGGCAGCAGUGGGGAAUAUUGGACAAUGGGCGGAAGCCUGAUCCAGCCAUGCCGCGUGUGUGAAGAAGGCCUUUUGGUUGUAAAGCACUUUAAGCGAGGAGGAGGCUACUUAGAUUAAUACUCUAGGAUAGUGGACGUUACUCGCAGAAUAAGCACCGGCUAACUCUGUGCCAGCCGCCGCGGUAACAC
rnacentral:rRNA from 1 species